rnacentral:rRNA from 1 species
AAGCCCUGACUUCUGAGAGAGGUGUAUUUAUUAAAUAAAAAAUCAAUACAGUUUGCUACUUCUUUGGUGAUUUAUAAUAACUUUUUGAAUCACAUGGCCUUAUACUAGUGAUGCUUUAUUCAAAUAUCUACUCUAUCAACUUUCAAUGGUAAAAUAAAGGCCUACUGUAGUUUCAAUAGAUAAUAGGGAAUAAAAUUCAAUUUUAGAAAGAGAGUCUGAAAAAUAGCUAUUAUAUCUAAGGAAGAUAGCAGGCAUGUAAAUUACCUAAUCCUGACAUGGAGAGGUAAUAACAAUAAAUAACAAUAUAGGGCUUUUUGGGUUUUAUAAUUGGAAUGAGUACAAUUUAAAUCUCUUAAUAAGAAACAAUUAGAGAGCAAGUCUGGUGCCAGUAGCUAUAGUAAUUCCAGCUCCAAUAGUAUAUAUUAAAGUUAUUGCAGUUAAAAAGCUUGUAGUUAAACUUCAAACCUGGCUGGGUAUUUUGCUUAAUGGCAUAUACUACUUGGCUGGACCUUACUUCUUGGUGAGCUAGCAUAUCUUUUAUUGAUAUGCAUUAGAAAACCAGGACUUUGAUCUUGAGAAAAUUAGAGUAUUCAAAGCAGGCCUAUAUCUAAAUAUAUUAGUAUGGAAUAAUAAAAUAGAACAUGUAGUUCUAUUUUGUUGGUUCUUAGAGUUGCUAUAAUAAUUAAUAGAGAUAGUUGGGGAUAUUAGUAUUGAAUUGCUAGAGGUAAAAUUCUUGGAUUGACUCAAGACUAACUAUUACAAAAGUAUUUGCUAAGAAUGUUUUCAUUAAUCAAAAAUGAAGGUUAGAGGAUCAAAAAUAAUUAGAUACCAUUGUAGUUUUAAUAGUAAACUAUGCUAACUAGGAAUUAGAUGAUCUCAAAAUUAAUGUAUUAUUUGGCAUCUUAUAAAAAAUCAAAAUCUUUGGGUUUUGGGGAGAGUAUGGUUACAAGGCUAAAACUUAAAGAAAUGAUAGAAGAGUACUAUCAGAUGUAGAGCCUAUAGCUUAAUUUGACUCAACAUGGGAAAACUCACUAGGUCCAAAUAUAAUUAGAAUUGAUAGAUUGAUAGCUUUUUCAUGAUUUUAUGGGUGGUGGUAUAUGGCCAUUCUUAGUUGGUAGAGUAAUUUGUUUAGUUAAUUCUGAUAACAAAUGAGACUUUAACCUAUUAAAUAGCUAAGUUAGCUUUGGCUAGUCUUUAGCUUCUUAAAGAGACUGUUAAUAUUUAGCUGAUAGAAGUUUAAGACAAUAACAGGUCUGUGAUGCCCUUAGAUAUUCUGGGCUAUAUAUAUACUAUACUAGUAGAGCUAGUGAGUUUUUAUACCUUAGCCAGAAAAUCUGAGUAAUCUUGUGAAACUUUAUUAUGUACUAGAGGCCAUUUCAUCCAGUAUUACUGUCAAG